GAGCUGGCUAGGCGGCCGCGUGGUGCGUGAAAGCGCGCCCCGAGGAACGUCCGGGCUCCACAGGGAACGGUGGUGGGUAACGCCCACCCGAGGUGACUCGCGGGAAAGCGCCACAGAAAACAGACCGCUUCGGGCAGUGUUCGGAGUAAGGGUGAAACGGCGGUGUAAGAGACCACCGCGUCUCAGGUGACUGAGGCGGCACGGCAAGCCCCACCGGGAGCAAGGUCGCACAGCGCACGUAGGCGUCCCGUUUAGUGCGUGGGUGGACUGCUAGAGCCAUGCGGCAACGUAUGGCGUAGAUGGAUGGCCGCCGCCGCGAAAGCGGCACAGAACCCGGCGUAUCGGCCAGCUCAU
rnacentral:RNase_P_RNA from 1 species